GUGCUCACCUGGCAGGGCAAGGAGGUCCCAUGGUCACGAAGGCGCCUUUCCCAGGGCGAGGGUUUUCCGCUACAGUCCGGAUGUGCCAACCCGUGCGUUUUCCCCAAAUGUAGGAGACUCAGCUGCGUAAUUUUUGGUAGUGGGGGACUGCGUUCACACUCUCCCCGG